rnacentral:rRNA from 1 species
UGGGGAAUUUUGGACAAUGGGCGAAAGCCUGAUCCAGCCAUGCCGCGUGCAGGAUGAAGGCCUUCGGGUUGUAAACUGCUUUUGUACGGAACGAAAAGGUCUUUUCUAAUAAAGAAGGCUCAUGACGGUACCGUAAGAAUAAGCACCGGCUAACUGCGUGCCAGCAGCCGCGGUAAUACGGAGGGUGCAAGCGUUAAUCGGAAUUACUGGGCGUAAAGCGCACGCAGGCGGUUUGUUAAGUCAGAUGUGAAAUCCCCGCGCUUAACGUGGGAACUGCAUUUGAAACUGGCAAGCUAGAGUCUUGUAGAGGGGGGUAGAAUUCCAGGUGUAGCGGUGAAAUGCGUAGAUAUGCGGAGGAACACCGAUGGCGAAGGCAAUCCCCUGGACCUGUACUGACGCUCAUGCACGAAAGCGUGGGGAGCAAACAGGAUUAGAUACCCAAGUAGUCCCUGAGCGGGCUGGCAAGGCGCAU